UGGGGAAUCUUGGACAAUGGGCGCAAGCCUGAUCCAGCCAUGCCGCGUGAGUGACGAAGGCCUUAGGGUUGUAAAGCUCUUUUGCCGGGGACGAUAAUGACGGUACCCGGAGAAUAAGUCCCGGCUAACUUCGUGCCAGCAGCCGCGGUAAUACGAAGGGGACUAGCGUUGUUCGGAAUUACUGGGCGUAAAGCGCACGUAGGCGGAUUUGUCAGUCAGGGGUGAAAUCCCGGGGCUCAACCUCGGAACUGCCUUUGAUACAGCAAGUCUUGAGUCCGAUAGAGGUGGGUGGAAUUCCUAGUGUAGAGGUGAAAUUCGUAGAUAUUAGGAAGAACACCGGUGGCGAAGGCGGCCCACUGGAUCGGUACUGACGCUGAGGUGCGAAAGCGUGGGGAGCAAACAGGAUUAGAUACCCACGUAGUCCCUGAGCGGGCUGGCAAGGCGCAU
rnacentral:rRNA from 1 species